rnacentral:rRNA from 1 species
CCUACGGGCGGCAGCAGUGGGGAAUUUUGGACAAUGGACGCGAGCCUGAACCAGCCAAGUCGCGUGAGGGAAGACGGCCCUAUGGAUUGUAAACUUCUUUUGUCCGGGAGCAAAAGACGCCACGCGUGGCGUUCCGAGAGUACCCGAAGAAAAAGCAUCGGCUAACUCCGUGCCAGCAGCCGCGGUAAUACGGAGGAUGCGAGCGUUAUCCGGAUUUAUUGGGUUUAAGGGGAGCGCAGGCGGAAGAUCAAGCCAGCGGGAAAAUUGGGAGGCUCAACCUCUUCGUGCCGUUGAAACUGGUUUUCUUGAGUGAGUGAGAGGUAUGCGGAAUGCGUGGUGUAGCGGUGAAAUGCAUAGAUAUCACGCAGAACUCCGAUUGCGAAGGCAGCAUACCGGCGCUCAACUGACGCUCAGGCACGAAAGUGUGGGUAUCGAACAGGAUUAGAUACCCCAGUAGUC